ncrna:unclassified sequences DTF3800-I RNA
UUAUAUUGCAGGUAGGGAGACUUACGCUGUAUAUCUGUGAUGUCACUGAAUGAAAGUUUAAGCGUUAUUUAAGAACGUCAGCCACAGAGCGCCACCAUUUAGGUGGUAUUUUUUUUG